UUUUUUGUCCCAGUCCAGCCCUGCCUACACGGGUAUUUUUGAAAACGCAGCUGUUUCUAUGCGUUUGGGCUUUUCGUCAACACGUAAACGGCGUUGCGAUUCACCGAAAACGGAGAUUAUUUAAAACUCCUUUUUUGCGUUUACGUGUGGACGAGGAUUACAGAGUUCGUCACGCAACGUCAAAGUUUUCGUUUCCUCUGGUGCGACCCCCUCUCUCCCUCUUUAAAUGGUGAAGAGUAUAUACUUCUCAGCAGGAGUACCGGCCAUCUCUCCUGGAUCAAAAACUCAGUUCUGGAAUAUC
ensembl:lncRNA